rnacentral:rRNA from 1 species
UGCGUAGGUGGUUAUAUUAGUCGGUAGUUAAAGACCAGGGCUUAACCCUGGUAUCGCUAUCGAAACGGUAUGACUAGAGAACAAGAGAGGUUGACGGAACUCAUGGUGUAGGGGUGAAAUCCGUUGAUAUCAUGAGGAACACCAAAGGCGAAGGCAGUCAACUGGCUUGUUUCUGACACUGAGGCACGAAACCCUGGGGAGCGAAAG